GACGUAGGGCGCGAGCGUUGUCCGGAUUUAUUGGGCGUAAAGAGCUCGUAGGCGGUUUGUCGCGUCGGGAGUGAAAACCCAGGGCUUAACUCUGGGCUUGCUUUCGAUACGGGCAGACUAGAGGCAUGCAGGGGAGAACGGAAUUCCUGGUGUAGCGGUGAAAUGCGCAGAUAUCAGGAGGAACACCGGUGGCGAAGGCGGUUCUCUGGGCAUGUCCUGACGCUGAGGAGCGAAAGUGUGGGGAGCGAACAGG
rnacentral:rRNA from 1 species